GCCAUAGGAUGAUCUAAAUGGACUGCAGUAGCACUCUGCCAUGUUGACCUGGUAUCUAUCACCCUUGUCUGAUGGCU